rnacentral:misc_RNA from 1 species
UAAAUGGAGAUAUUGACUGAUUAAGAUUGCAAUAACACCCCUUUUAUUUCAUCUAACUUUCUGUUUCCUUCUAAUUGGUUACAAAAGCUGCUGCUUUUUUUUUUUUUAAAUUGAUUUCGGCUGAAAUUGGAAUUUGAAACUUUACCGCAGCUUUAUUUUUUUAUCCCACUUAUUGAGAUCGCCAGUACCUGGCCAUUUCAAACCCAUUUUUGCAAUAGUGGUAGUCCUCAAUUGUUUGCUCAAUUUCAGCUUGUGUGUUCAUCACAAAAGGUCCAUGCUGAACCACUGGUUCAUUGAUCGGUUGCCCAGCGAUUAGUACGAAUCUCAAUGGCUUGGAAGACCUAUUCCAUACGCUUAAACCAUCUCCAGUACCCAAAACCAGAACAUGGUGAGCAGUUGCUUGGGAAGAAUUUCUCAAGCCAAAGGCUCCCUCACCUUCAAUGACAUAAACAAAUGCAUUCCACGAUUCUGGAACGGUUUGGUGGACUUGAGCUCUUGGUUUCAGAGUGAAAUCCAGAAACAUUGUUGGUGUUCUUGUGUAUACUGGAGACCUAACUCCCAUUGAUUCUCCUGCUAUAACUCGCACUUCAGCCCCAUCUUUUUCAGCCCUUUGGAUGUCAUCACUUACAAGUUCUUGAUACCUUGGUUCAAUCAUUUUGUCUUCAGAUGAAAGAUUUAUCCAAAGCUGCAACCCUUUUUGUGUUCCUUCUCCUGCAGGCAUUUCUGAGUGGAUUAUCCCUCUUCCUGCUGUCAUCCACUGCACAUCUCCAGCAUGGAUUGUACCCUUAUGCCCUGCAAAAUCUUGAUGAGUGAUGCCUCCCUGAAGCAUAUAUGUAACAGUCUCAAAACCUCUAUGCGGGUGAUCAGGAAAUCCAGCAGGAGGAGUCACUGAAAAAUCAUCCAACAUUAGAAAAGGAUCCAAGAACUUCAGCUCACUCCUUCCAAUGCCUCUUCUAACAACAGCACCAUCGCCCUCAUACUGGGGGGUGGCUAGGACCUUCUUGGUGACCAAUCUUGGUCUAUUGAAACCAUGGGAUUGAUUAGAUGCAGACAUGAUAUUUCUGAUGGAGGAAACAGCUUUGAUAUUGUUUCUGCUCUUGGCAGUUGUUGGGUACAAGCUAAACAAUAACUUGUUAUAUAAAGCUUUCAUAUAAAAUAAGGAAAGCCCGGUUUGUUUGUUGUGUGUGUCCUCUCUGCUUUCCUGUAAAAGAAAUUGG